ACAUUUCUUUAAGAUUUAUAUUUAAGGUAGUUCCUGCUCAAUGAUUAUUUAAAUAGCUGCAGUAAUUUGACUGUACAAAGGUAGCAUAAUAAUUAGUCUUUUAAUUGAGGACUAGAAUGAAUGGAUUUAUGAAAUAUAUAUUUUAUUUAUUUUAUUAUUAAAAUUUAAUUUCUUAGUAAAAAAGCUUAGUUGUUUUUUUGGGACGAAAAGACCCUAUAGAACUUUUUAUUAUUUUAUAUAUUUUAGAAUAAAAUUAUUAUAAAUAAAUAUUUUGUUGGGGUGACAAAUAAAUUUAUACUUUAUUUUUUUUUAUCAUUGAUUUAUGUUAUAAAGAUCCUUAUUUUAAAUUAAAAGUUUAAGUUACCUUAGGGAUAACAGCGUAAUUUUAAUGGAAAGUUCUUAUUUAUAUUAAAGUUUGCGACCUCGAUGUUGAAUUAAAAUAAAUAUAAGGGGUAGGUUCUUUAUUAUUUAAGUCUGUUCGACUUUUAAAUUCUUACUUGAUCUG
rnacentral:rRNA from 1 species